AUAAAGAUAAGCUAAUUAAGCUAUUGGGCUCAUACCCCAUCUAUAAAGGUAUCAAUCCUUUUCUUUUUA
rnacentral:tRNA from 1 species